GGAGCAAACAGGAUUAGAUACCCUGGUAGUCCACGCCCUAAACGAUGUCAACUGGUUGUCGGGUCUUCAUUGACUUGGUAACGUAGCUAACGCGUGAAGUUGACCGCCUGGGGAGUACGGUCGCAAGAUUAAAACUCAAAGGAAUUGACGGGGACCCGCACAAGCGGUGGAUGAUGUGGAUUAAUUCGAUGCAACGCGAAAAACCUUACCUACCCUUGACAUGGACGGAACCCUGCUGAGAGGUGGGGGUGCUUGAAAGAGAACCGUCGCACAGGUGCUGCAUGGCUGUCGUCAGCUCGUGUCGUGAGAUGUUGGGUUAAGUCCCGCAACGAGCGCAACCCUUGUCCUUAGUUGCUACGCAAGAGCACUCUAAGGAGACUGCCGGUGACAAACCGGAGGAAGGUGGGGAUGACGUCAAGUCCUCAUGGCCCUUAUGGGUAGGGCUUCACACGUCAUACAAUGGUCGGAACAGAGGGUUGCCAAGCCGCGAGGUGGAGCCAAUCCCAGAAAACCGAUCGUAGUCCGGAUUGCACUCUGCAACUCGAGUGCAUGAAGCUGGAAUCGCUAGUAAUCGCGGAUCAGCAUGCCGCGGUGAAUNNNUUCCCGGGUCUUGUACACACCGCCCGUCACACCAUGGGAGUGGGUUUUACCAGAAGUGGCUAGUCUAACCGCAAGGAGGACGGUCACCACGGUAGGAUUCAUGACUGGGGUGAAGUCGUAACAAGGUAACCA
rnacentral:rRNA from 1 species